GUGCUUGGGCGAGAGUAGUACUAGGAUGGGUGACCCCCUGGGAAGUCCUCGGUUGCAUCCC
rnacentral:rRNA from 1 species